UAAUGGCAGGUCAGCAUACUGCCGUGAAUACGUUCCCGGGCCUUGUACACACCGCCCGUCACACCAUGAGAGUUGGGGAUACCCAAAGCCCGUGAGCCAACUGUAAAGAGGCAGCGGUCUAAGGUAGAAUCAAUGAUUGGGGUGAAGUCGUAACAAGGUAAC
rnacentral:rRNA from 1 species